GUUUAUAUAGUUAUGGCUAGUCUCUUGGUGGCUUCAAAUAUUCGUUUGUUUCAGAAUUUGGGAGAUUUUAUUUCCUUGGGUUUGGGGGUUUGGUAGAGAGGAUUUGCUUUUGGAGUCCCCUUUGCGCUUUUUUUUUAAGGGAAGCUUUUUUGAUUUGAUCAAAAUGAAAAAUUGUUCUUUAGAUUUCUACGAAUUUGAUAUUAUGCAGGAUUUUGAUUCAGGUUUAAAACUUUAAAUUGAGUCUUCUGUUCAUAGCCUUAUCCUCUUGUUGUUACUUGGUUUGCGUCAGUCCAAUUAACAAGUUGGCGUUUCAUCAAAAUCUCAGAACCAAUAAGCAACUGUCAAUUUUUCUCCUUUUUAUAAAAUAAUUUUUAAUACCCGCGCUUUGUUUCUCUGCUUCCUUCCUCAACUGUGCAUAUCCCUUACUUUCUUGGCAAUACCUCUCAUUCUCCUUCCGUUCCUUUCUUGGCAAUACCUCUCACUCUCCUUUCCUAUCAGAGGGAAUAUGCACACCAAGACAGACUCCGAGGGAACAAUGACAACACCUCAUAGCCAACACGAUUGCCACUGCAGAGGCUGGUGCACUACGUGCAAAGCCGUCAAAGCCACAAUGUGGAGAAGAUGUCAUCUGGGUUAAGCCUUGCCGUCUUGCCAACCCAUCAUUAUUGUUCACCUAUUCACCACUCCCGCAAAUCCUCCAUGUCAUGCUUCUCUGCAUUGCUUAUGAAGCCUAGAAGCCUCUCCACCCAAAAGCACGUACAAAUUAGUCAAGGUGAUCAGAUGACGAAAUAGACGGCAGCAAUGAUGGUGAUUAGUCAUUUGGGGCAGUGGCGGGGCAUGCUAGUUGUGGCAAAAAUGGAUUUGCAAGGAGAAUCCACCAUUCAAUCUAAUCAAGCUGAGAAUGUGUGGCUGUGACUUUUGGGUUAGGGAGGAUGGGCGGGUGUGAACGAAAGAGAUAAAAGUUUCUCCAUUUUUUCUAAAUUUUCCAAGCGAAUGAUAGUUUUGCAUUGGGGGGUGCAAACGGUCAGUUAGGUUCGGAACUGAGAAAAUAAAAUUAAGAAGGGAGCCGGAAUUGAACCAAUUUGGUUCCGUUCAGUUCAAUUCGUUCCGUUCAGUUGGUUCCCAUGAGAGGUUAUAGCAAUGGAGAAAUAAAUUUAUUGAUGAGAAGAAACUCAAUCAUCAUCAGGAACAGAAAUCAACUCCACAGUCAAAACAAGGCAAAAGAAACAACCUGCAAUCCUAUGUCAUUUAUGAUUGCAGGUAAAACAAAAAUUUUAGAUUAAA
rnacentral:misc_RNA from 1 species